CUCAUUAAAUCAGUUAUAGUUUAUUUGAUGGUCUCUUUGUCUUUUUUUUACCUACUUGGAUAACCGUGGUAAUUCUAGAGCUAAUACAUGCGCAAGGUCCCGAGCGCGGAGGGUAGGGCUUCACGGCUCUAUCCUUGCAUGCGUAGAGGGAUGUAUUUAUUAGGUUAAACAACCAGCAUCUUUUCAUUUCUGGUGAAUCACAGUAACUCGGUCGGAUCGCAUUGAUA
rnacentral:rRNA from 1 species